rnacentral:rRNA from 1 species
UACGUAGGGUGCGAGCGUUGUCCGGAUUUAUUGGGCGUAAAGGGCUCGUAGGCGGCCUGUCGCGUCGGGAGUGAAAGCCCACUGCUUAACGGUGGGUCUGCUUUCGGUACGGGCGGGCUAGAGUAUGGCAGGGGAGACUGGAAUUCCUGGUGUAGCGGUGGAAUGCGCAGAUAUCAGGAGGAACACCGGUGGCGAAGUCGGGUCUCUGGGACAUUACUGACGCUGAGGAGCGAAAGCGUGGGGAGCGAACAGG